AACGAACGCUGGCGGCAGGCUUAACACAUGCAAGUCGAACGCAUCGUUCGGGGUGAGUGGCAGACGGGUGAGUAACGCGUGGGAACGUGCCCUUCAGUUCGGGAUAACCCAGGGAAACUUGGGCUAAUACCGGAUACGUGCGAGAGCAGAAAGAUUUAUCGCUGAAGGAUCGGCCCGCGUCUGAUUAGCUAGUUGGUGGGGUAAUGGCCCACCAAGGCGACGAUCAGUAGGUGGUCUGGGAGGAUGAUCAGCCACAUUGGGACUGAGACACGGCCCAAACUCCUGAGGGAGGCAGCAGUGGGGGAUAUUGGACAAUGGGCGCAAGCCUGAUCCAGCCAUGCCGCGUGAGUGAUGAAGGCCUUAGGGUUGUAAAGCUCUUUCGUCCGGGACGAUAAUGACGGUACCGGAAGAAGAAGCCCCGGCUAACUUCGUGCCAGCAGCCGCAGUAAGAC
rnacentral:rRNA from 1 species